rnacentral:rRNA from 1 species
AACGAACGCUGGCGGCAUGCCUAACACAUGCAAGUCGAACGAGACCUUCGGGUCUAGUGGCGCACGGGUGCGUAACGCGUGGGAAUCUGCCCUUAGGUACGGAAUAACUCAGGGAAACUUGUGCUAAUACCGUAUGAUGUCGAGAGACCAAAGAUUUAUCGCCUAGGGAUGAGCCCGCGUAGGAUUAGCUAGUUGGUGGGGUAAAGGCCUACCAAGGCUACGAUCCUUAGCUGGUCUGAGAGGAUGAUCAGCCACACUGGGACUGAGACACGGCCCAGACUCCUACGGGAGGCAGCAGUGGGGAAUAUUGGACAAUGGGCGAAAGCCUGAUCCAGCAAUGCCGCGUGAGUGAAGAAGGCCUCGG